ensembl:snoRNA U3 Small nucleolar RNA U3
AAGACUAUACUUUCAGGGAUCAUUUCUAUGGUUUCUUACUAGAGAAGUUUCUCUUACUGUAUAGAGUACCAGAUACCACAAGGAGGAGGCACAGUUUUCUCUCCUGAGUGUGAAGUUGGUGCUGGGUGUUGUUUUGUGCAACUUGCCCAUCACCAUUGACUCAGUGAGAGAUCCUGUCUUAAGAAACAAGGUGAAGAGUAAUGGAGGAAGACACCCAGUGUUGA